rnacentral:tRNA from 1 species
GCGCACGUAGCUCAGUGGUAGUAGCACAGACCUUAUAAGUCUGGGGUCGUUGGUUCGAAUCCAACCGUGCGCACCA